rnacentral:rRNA from 22 species
ACGGGUGAGUAACACGUGGGCAAUCUGCCCUUCACUCUGGGACAAGCCCUGGAAACGGGGUCUAAUACCGGAUAUCACUUCCACUCGCAUGGGUGGGGGUUGAAAGCUCCGGCGGUGAAGGAUGAGCCCGCGGCCUAUCAGCUUGUUGGUGAGGUAAUGGCUCACCAAGGCGACGACGGGUAGCCGGCCUGAGAGGGCGACCGGCCACACUGGGACUGAGACACGGCCCAGACUCCUACGGGAGGCAGCAGUGGGGAAUAUUGCACAAUGGGCGAAAGCCUGAUGCAGCGACGCCGCGUGAGGGAUGACGGCCUUCGGGUUGUAAACCUCUUUCAGCAGGGAAGAAGCGAAAGUGACGGUACCUGCAGAAGAAGCGCCGGCUAACUACGUGCCAGCAGCCGCGGUAAUACGUAGGGCGCAAGCGUUGUCCGGAAUUAUUGGGCGUAAAGAGCUCGUAGGCGGUCUGUCACGUCGGAUGUGAAAGCCCGGGGCUUAACCCCGGGUCUGCAUUCGAUACGGGCAGACUAGAGUGUGGUAGGGGAGAUCGGAAUUCCUGGUGUAGCGGUGAAAUGCGCAGA